CUUCAGUGAUGAGACGAUGACGAGUCGGAACCGGUCUCUGUCUGGUUCUGGUGGCUGGUUCUGAUCCACGUUCUGUGGUUCUGCUCUGGUCCAGCAGAACAGCGAGGCUUUUUCGGUUGAAGACAUCGAGGCAUUUGUCUGAGAAGG
ensembl:snoRNA SNORD15 Small nucleolar RNA SNORD15